rnacentral:rRNA from 1 species
CUGAACGCUGGCGGCGUGGCUAAGACAUGCAAGUCGCACGGUGUAGCAAUACACAGUGGCGAACGGGUGAGUAAUGAAUCGCUAAUGUACCCCGGACUCUGGGAUAGCUACCCGAAAGGGUAGGUAAUACCAGAUGAGACCACGGCAUCGCAUGAUGUUGUGCUCAAAGGUCCGCCGGUCUGGGAGCAGGCGAUUUCGUAUCAGCUAGUUGGUGAGGUAACGGCUCACCAAGGCGACGACGCGUAGCCGGACUGAGAGGUUGGCCGGCCACAUUGGGACUGAGACACUGCCCAGACUCCUACGGGGGGCUGCAGUAACGAAUCUUCCGCAAUGCACGAAAGUGUGACGGAGCGACGCCGCGUGUAGGACGAAGCCCUUCGGGGUGUAAACUACUGUCAGGGGUUAGAAAGUUCUGAUCAACCCCAGAGGAAGGCACGGCUAACUCUGUGCCAGCAGCCGCGGUAAUU